UGGCUAAAGUGUCUUGGCUAAGGUGUCUUGUCUAAGGUGUCUUGGCUAAGGUGUCUUGGCUAAGGUGUCUUGGCUAAGGUGUCUUGGCUAAAGUGUCUUGGCUAAGGUGUCUCGGCUAAUGUGUCUUGGCUAAGUUGUCUUGGCUAAGGUGUCUUGGCUAAGGUGUCUUGGCUAAUGUGUCUUGGCUAAUGUGUCUUGGCUAAUGUGUCUUGGCUAAGGUGUCUUGGCUAAUGUGUCUUGGCGAAGGUGUCUUGGCUAAGGUGUCUUGGCUAAGGUGUCUUGGCUAAUGUGUCUUGGCUAAUGUGUCUUGGCUAAUGUGUCUUGGCUAAUGUGUCUUUUCUAAGGUGUCUUGGCUAAUGUGUCUUGGCUAAUGUGUCUUGGCUAAAGUGUCUUGGCUAAUGUGUCUUGGCUAAUGUGUCUUGGCUAAUGUGUCUUGGCUAAUGUGUCUCGGCUAAUGUGUCUUGGCUAAGGUGUCUUGGCUAAGGUGUCUUGGCUAAUG